GCAAAACUCACCAGCUAAAGGUGUGGUCACCAAGUACUGGAAAACCCUUGCCUCUAUCUCAUCUAUUAACCCUUCCUUCCAGUUCCAGCCUCCUAAUUCUCAACUCACCAGCUAAAAAUAGGGUCACCAAGCUGUAGAAAACCCUUGCCUAUCUCGUCUAGUGCAACCCUUGCUUCCAUCCUCUUCAUUCUCAUGUAUACCUGACCUGUUUCGCAGUUAACGCCUCGGUAAUAUCAAGUUUAAUCAUUCGUCCCUUUGAGGCUAUAUGUUCUCUUUGACGCCAGCAUGGCACUCUCAGUGCUAUCUUUCAAAAAUAGAUCAAGAAAGAAAGAAACAAGGCAGCAGGUACCUCAUGUAUAUUGAUCACCAGCGUAUUUAUCAGAACUUGACUGACCAGCAACGGCAUAAAAUAUAAAGUCAGUCUUUCCUUGCGUAAUUCUCCACAAUGGUCUUCUGGGUAUUGUAAAAUCAUUAAUUUUGCAUCCUGGUAAUUUUGCCAUCAUAGCCAUAAGCCAGCUCCGGCACUUUCCUGAGGCAGGUUGUGUUCACACUUGGUGCUUCGGAAUUGCGAAAAGAUUGAGGUUGGAUCUUGAGCUUUUAAUAUUGCAUUAGGAGAGUGGUCAAAAGUCUAGAUGAUUAUUCAAAACUGUGUUCACACUGCUUCGAAUUUUCAAUAUUAGGAGUGGUCAAAAGUCUAGAUGAUUAUUCAAAACUGUGUUCACACUGCUUCGAAUUUUAAUUACUGAAAUCAGCAUACAUUGUAUCGAUAUGAGGAACAUCGAGUUGAUUAUUUAAAGGGGUGUCUUCACACCUUUAAAUAUUUUUUAAAUCUGAAUGCUCAGAACUGAUUUUGUGGGCAUCAAACAUGAUGGUUGUGUUAGGAAAAUUGGACAGACAUUUGAUA